rnacentral:rRNA from 1 species
UAAGGAAUCUUCCGCAAUGGACGAAAGUCUGACGGAGCAACGCCGCGUGCAGGAUGAAGGCUUUCGGGUCGUAAACUGCUUUUGUAUGGGAAGAUUAUGACGGUACCAUACGAAUAAGGACCGGCUAACUACGUGCCAGCAGCCGCGGUAAUACGUAGGGUCCAAGCGUUAUCCGGAAUUACUGGGCGUAAAGCGUCUGUAGGCGGAUUGUUAAGUGCAUCGCGAAAUCCUGUGGCUCAACCAUAUGGACUGUGAUGCAUACUGGCAAUCUAGAGGAUGGCAGAGGCAAGUGGAAUUACCGGUGUAGCAGUGAAAUGCGUAGAUAUCGGUAGGAACACCAAUGGCGAAGGCAGCUUGCUGGGCCAUUUCUGACGCUAAGAGACGAAAGCGUGGGGAGCGAACA